GGUGCUGAUGGUGAAGGGGUGAACUAGUUCAACAAGACAAACUCACUUCAUGUCUCAAGGGGAAGAUCUUAAUCUUGAAUAUUAUUACCAUAGUUAACCCACACCAUGUUGAAAGAAAACAAACGAUUUUGCAUUAGACCUCAAGAUUCACACAAGAAAAAAAAAGUGAGCACAAUGGGCAAGUGCAUAUUCUGUGAGCAGCCAGUAGAUAAUGGUCAGAAAAGGGUGACCCUGACUACCAAAGGAUAUGAAAGAAUGAAAAGAGCAAGCAAAGAACGUGGUGGCCAUAUCCAUGUAGUUCCUGUUCAACUUGUGCACACAAAGU